GUCUCAAAAGCUCAGCGAAUAGAGCACUGGCAUGGUACGCCAAAGGCCUUGGGUUUGAACCCAAGUUGAGACU
rnacentral:tRNA from 1 species